rnacentral:rRNA from 1 species
GCAAGUCGAGCGAGAAAGGUCUUCGGACUGAGUACAGCGGCGGACGGGUGAGUAACGCGUAGGAAUCUACCUGGUAGUGGGGGACAACUUGGGGAAACUCAAGCUAAUACCGCAUACGCCCUACGGGGGAAAGCGGGGGAUCUUCGGACCUCGCGCUAUCGGAUGAGCCUGCGUUGGAUUAGCUAGUUGGUGGGGUAAAGGCUCACCAAGGCGACGAUCCAUAGCUGGUCUGAGAGGAUGAUCAGCCACACUGGGACCGAGACACGGCCCAGACUCCUACGGGAGGCAGCAGUGGGGAAUAUUGCGCAAUGGGCGAAAGCCUGACGCAGCCAUGCCGCGUGUGUGAAGAAGGCCCUAGGGUUGUAAAGCACUUUCAAUUGGGAAGAAAGGUUGCGUGUUAAUAGCACGUAGCUGUGACAUUACCAUUAGAAGAAGCACCGGCUAACUCCGUGCCAGCAGCCGCGGUAAUACGGAGGGUGCAAGCGUUAAUCGGAAUUACUGGGCGUAAAGCGCGCGUAGGCGGUUUGUUAAGUCAGCUGUGAAAGCCCUGGGCUCAACCUGGGAACUGCAGUUGAUACUGGCCGACUAGAGUACGAGAGAGGGAGGUAGAAUUCC